AUAACCUACCUAUAAGACUGGGAUAACUUCGGGAAACCGGAGCUAAUACCGGAUAAUAUAUUGAACCGCAUGGUUCAAUGGUGAAAGACGGUUUUGCUGUCACUUAUAGAUGGAUCCGCGCCGCAUUAGCUAGUUGGUAAGGUAACGGCUUACCAAGGCAACGAUGCGUAGCCGACCUGAGAGGGUGAUCGGCCACACUGGAACUGAGACACGGUCCAGACUCCUACGGGAGGCAGCAGCC
rnacentral:rRNA from 1 species